rnacentral:rRNA from 1 species
UACGGCUACCUUGUUACGACUUCACCCCAGUCGCUGACCUUACCGUGGCCUGCUGCCUCUAAAAGUUAGCACACAGUCUUCGGGUAAAACCAACUCCCAUGGUGUGACGGGCGGUGUGUACAAGGCCCGGGAACGUAUUCACCGUGGCAUGCUGAUCCACGAUUACUAGCGAUUCCAACUUCAUGCUCUCGAGUUGCAGAGAACAAUCCGAACUGAGACGGCUUUUAGAGAUUAGCUCCUCAUCGCUGAGUGGCUGCUCACUGUCACCGCCAUUGUAGCACGUGUGUAGCCCGGCCCGUAAGGGCCAUGAUGAUUUGACGUCAUCCCCACCUUCCUCCGGCUUAUCACCGGCAGUCCCUCUAGAGUGCCCAACUUAAUGCUGGCAACUAAAGGCGAGGGUUGCGCUCGUUGCGGGACUUAACCCAACAUCUCACGACACGAGCUGACGACAACCAUGCAGCACCUGUAUCCAAUCCAGCCGAACUGAAGGAAAGCAUCUCUGCUAUCCGCGAUUGGUAUGUCAAGGGCCGGUAAGGUUCUUCGCGUUGCCUCGAAUUAAACCACAUGCUCCACCGCUUGUGCGGGCCCCCGUCAAUUCCUUUGAGUUUUAGUCUUGCGACCGUAGUCCCCAGGCGGGGUGCUUAACGCGUUAGCUGCGUCACCAAACAGCAUGCUGCCUGACAACUAGCACCCAUCGUU